UCAACAUCACCUGAAAAGGGAAGACCCACCCUAAAUGUGGGCCAUGCCUUUUCGUGACAGCCUCUAUAAAGGACUAGGACCCUGUGGUGCUUCAAAAGAAAAUGGCCCCCAAAGGGCGUGGCACUGUUAGGAGGCGUGGCCUUGUUGGAGGAAGUGCAGGCUUAGAGAGCUCUAUUUCUCAAGCUUCUCUCAGUGUGCCGGUCAGUUGACUCUCUGUUGCCCCCGAGUCAAGACGUAAGCACCGUCAGCUCCAGUACCACGUCUGCCUGCAUGCCGUGCUCUCUGCCAUGGACUGAACCUCUGAAACUCUUAAGUGAGCCACCCCCGUGAAAUGCUUCCUUUGGAAGAGUUGCCACAGCCGUGGUGUCUCUUGAGAGCAACAGAAGCCCUGACUCAGACAGGUGGGAGAAGCUAUUGCUUUGUGGUUGCUUGUGCUCGCUCUCAUUUCACUGACGUUACAGCCCCGAUUCUUUGGAAUUCCGCCACACACCGAACUGAACAUGGACUGAACAACUGCUGGGUCCUUGGACUUUCCACUGGGAGACAGCCAUUGUUAGCUGGGUCGUUGCCGUUUUACCCUGCAGCAAUUUGAUGUUGACGUCUUUAAGCCUGGGCCUGAGCACACUUGUUUUUCCUGCCACACUUGGGACAUUAAAUUGCUAUGUCUUCCGACAGCAGCCUGAUCGGAUGUGGUCGCUCAUCCUUUGUCUAUUGGCACUGCCUGGAGCCCCCCCCCCUGCCCUGAAACCUGUUUUCUACUCUAUGUCUGUGCUAUUUCAUUUAAACUCCGUGUUCCCUGGGAGACGCCCUUCUGUCUCCUUACCUCCUGGUCACCUAGUCACCAGAUUUCACAAUUAAUCACAGGCCCACCUUGAAGAGCCCGGGCUCCUGAAAUCGGUUGCCACUGGAUGGGAACUGCACCAAGUGGACAGCUGAGAUCUGGGACAUUAAUAAGAACCCCCCCCCCCCUUCAGGAAGCCACCCGGAAGACUUAACUCUGGAUGCUAUGACAACGAUAGGCGAAAGCUCUUCUGAGCUGUGAUUAAAUUUAACAUCGCUGCUGAGUAGUUUCUGUCUGCCA